UAAGUGAGCACUGCACCUGAUAUGUUGAUGUCGUCCGGACCGUGAGAGCGGCGUCUUGCGUUCAUGUGUUGGGCGGUUUGUACAUGCGAACACUGCACCGAUGGGUUGAUGUAAACCAGACUGCGGGGGCGGCGUCUUGCGUCCGUCUAUUGGGCGGCUCGUACAGGCGAGCACUAUACCGGCGGGUUGAGUUGAAUGUGAGAGUUGUGUGGCGAUAUGGCAUGGACUCGAGAACCGGACGCGGCGUUGUAAGCCGUCUUGGUCACGUGAACGUGAGAGUUGGCCGCGUCGUUGUACGCCGUCUUGGUUGGGCAUGAGAGUUGGCCGCGUCAUUUGUGAACCGUCUUGGUCGCGCAGACGUGAGAGUUGGGUGCGUCGUUGUAAGCCGGCGUAGACGGUGAGUCGCACAUGUCAUUGAUUGAUAAGAACUUCGUACUCGUAAUAUGACGCCACUUUGUAAUGAAUAAUUGUCCUGCGUCAAAAAUUACAGGCCAAAGUAAUUGUUCACAGAGAAAUUAAUAUGUCGUAAUAAAAACAAAUUAGAUAGAUAGCACCUGAUAUUUUUAUUGGAUGAAAUAUUGAUGAUUCAUAUGCAGACUCAUAUGCAGACGCUGGUGUUCCUCUAAUGAUCAUGGUCCUCUUGAUGUGUCGCUUUUGGUGUAUUUGUCGGAUAAGAUAGUAUCCAAACAGCAACUUUUUUGUGGUAGGCUCACGUUGAGCGACCCGGCCUGCUACUGCUAAUAGAUUGCUCUCAUAAAUGCCGCCGUGAGACCCAAACUUGAUCACCAAUUCUUCAGUGAUCAUGUACUAAAGCAGCGGUAACUUUAACAGAACCAUAGACAGUAGAUCAUAUGAAAGAUCUACAAACUGAACUUGUUCCAUCAUUUUCACUGGUCCAUAGUAGUAACGCCUCAGUCUUUUCCUCGGGUGUGUAUAGAUCGCUGCCCAUUUUGAUUUAGCAGCAAGGAUGAUGCAGUUUGCGAUGAGCAGCACCGGGUCAAGGGAUACGCGCUACGCAAGGACGGGCACGACGGCGCGCGCCUUGGUGAGGAGCUGCAGGUCGCCGCCUGUGGCGAAGGCGACUUUGGAAAUGCUGUGAGAGGCAUGGCGCACGCGAACCGGCCAGUGUGGGGUGGCGAAGCGGCGGGCAUGCGGUGGGUGAUGAGGCCGGACCAUGGCGAAGCGAGACACCGGUCGAGAGCGGGGCGGGGUGGCAUGCCACAGCCAACGCAGCAAGCCGGCUAGAUGGCUUGAGGAAAAGCAUGGCGGCAAAGGUGAGGCCGCGGCGAUGAGGCGUAACACAACAGCAGAGGCGAGGCAGGCUCGGAGUGGUCGGCAAGUCGAGGCCAACUCAGAGUGGGCGCAGCAAAGCAGAUACGAGGGCGGCUCAGACGCGAGGCCACGACGCUAGCGAGCUCAGCGGGUUGAAGCACUCGUGGGUCAGAGUGGAGGCAUGUGCGGCGGGUCAUUCCUGGAGACGGCGGAGGUGCAGCAGAGCCAGCCGAAGUGUGACCGGCGAGGCGGAGGCGGCAGCUAUGGCGGAGGUGACACGUCGAGGCGGAGUGGAGCCGGGCGAGGUGGAGGUGAGAGCCGCCAGUGGCUGCGGCGCGCGGAGGCGGAGCGGCGGAUGAGCCGGCCAGGAGCUGCUCGCGGCGAGGGCGAGGUGAUGCGGAGCGGCUGCUGAGGAGGCGCAGUGCGCAAGGCGAGCGACGGUGACUCGGCAGGUGGCUUGUAGCGC
rnacentral:lncRNA from 1 species